GGUCCUCGUUGCUCAGUUGGUUGGAGCAGGGGACUCAUAAUUACCUGGUCGCAGACUUGAGUUCUGCCGGGCCCA
rnacentral:tRNA from 1 species